rnacentral:rRNA from 1 species
CUUAGAGGUUAAGCCCGAUGAACCUGAAUAUCCAUUAUGAAAAAUUCAUCAUUAUAACUGUGAUAUAUUUAUAUAUUAUAGUAAUAGUGUGCUUUUUUUUCAUAUAAGGACAUUGUAAUCUAUUAACAUAAUAAAAUAUUUAUCAAAAGAUCAUUGGUGUUAAGUUUAUUCAAAUUAAUUUGCUUUAGCUUAUUAACAUAGAAUAAAUACUGAUGAUUUGAUAAAGUGUUGAUAGAUUUUAUAUAUAUAUAAUGCUAAAAUUC